rnacentral:rRNA from 1 species
GACGAACGCUGGCGGCGUGCCUAAUACAUGCAAGUAGAACGCUGAAGGAGGAGCUUGCUCUUCUGGAUGAGUUGCGAACGGGUGAGUAACGCGUAGGUAACCUGCCUGGUAGCGGGGGAUAACUAUUGGAAACGAUAGCUAAUACCGCAUAAGAGUAGAUGUUGCAUGACAUUUGCUUAAAAGGUGCAAUUGCACCACUACCAGAUGGACCUGCGUUGUAUUAGCUAGUUGGUGGGGUAACGGCUCACCAAGGCGACGAUACAUAGCCGACCUGAGAGGGUGAUCGGCCACACUGGGACUGAGACACGGCCCAGACUCCUACGGGAGGCAGCAGUAGGGAAUCUUCGGCAAUGGACGGAAGUCUGACCGAGCAACGCCGCGUGAGUGAAGAAGGUUUUCGGAUCGUAAAGCUCUGUUGUAAGAGAAGAACGAGUGUGAGAGUGGAAAGUUCACACUGUGACG